AUUCCUACGGGAGGCAGCAGUGGGGAAUUUUCCGCAAUGGGCGAAAGCCUGACGGAGCAACGCCGCGUGAGGGAUGAAGGCCUCUGGGCUGUAAACCUCUCUUAUCAAGGAAGAAGAUCUGACGGUACUUGAUGAAUAAGCCACGGCUAAUUCCGUGCCAGCAGCCGCGGUAAUACGGGAGUGGCAAGCGUUACCCGAAUCAUUGGGCGUAAAGCGUCCGCAGGCGGCCCUUCAAGUCUGCUGUUAAAAAGUGGAGCUUAACUCCAUCAUGGCAGUGGAAACUGUUGGGCUUGAGUGUGGUAGGGGCAGAGGGAAUUCCCGGUGUAGCGGUGAAAUGCGUAGAUAUCGGGAAGAACACCAGUGGCGAAGGCGCUCUGCUGGGCCAUAACUGACGCUCAUGGACGAAAGCCAGGGGAGCGAAAGGGAUUAGAUACCCCUGUAGUCCUGGCCGUAAACGAUGAACACUAGGUGUCGGGGGAAUCGACCCCUCCGGUGUCGUAGCCAACGCGUUAAGUGUUCCGCCUGGGGAGUACGCACGCAAGUGUGAAACUCAAAGGAAUUGACGGAAU
rnacentral:rRNA from 1 species